rnacentral:rRNA from 1 species
UACGGAGGGUGCAAGCGUUAUCCGGAUUUAUUGGGUUUAAAGGGUCCGCAGGCGGACUUGUAAGUCAGAGGUGAAAGCCGGCAGCUUAACUGUCGAACUGCCUUUGAUACUGCAAGUCUUGAGUAAAAUUGAAGUGGCUGGAAUGUGUAGUGUAGCGGUGAAAUGCAUAGAUAUUACACAGAACACCGAUAGCGAAGGCAGGUCACUAAGUUUUAACUGACGCUGAGGGACGAAAGCGUGGGGAGCGAACAGG